UAAUUCGAGAGUUUGAUCCUGGCUCAGGACGAACGCUGGCGGCGUGCCUAACACAUGCAAGUCGAGCGAGGGGAGUUCUUCGGAACAAACCUAGCGGCGGACGGGUGAGUAACACGUGGGCAACCUGCCUCAA
rfam:Clostridium homopropionicum DSM 5847 CLHOM_contig000029, whole genome shotgun sequence.